AGUAGUUUGAUCAUGGCUCAGAACGAACGCUGGCGGCAGGCUUAACACAUGCAAGUCGAACGGGCGUAGCAAUACGUCAGUGGCAGACGGGUGAGUAACACGUGGGAACCUUCCUAGGGGUACGGAACAACUCAGGGAAACUUGAGCUAAUACCGUAUACGUCCGUGAGGAGAAAGAUUUAUCGCCCUUAGACGGGCCCGCGUCGGAUUAGCUAGUUGGUGGGGUAACGGCCUACCAAGGCGACGAUCCGUAGCUGAUCUGAGAGGAUGAUCAGCCACACUGGGACUGAGACACGGCCCAGACUCCUACGGGAGGCAGCAGUGGGGAAUCUUGGACAAUGGGCGCAAGCCUGAUCCAGCCAUGCCGCGUGAGUGAAGAAGGCCUUCGGGUUGUAAAGCUCUUUUGUCAGGGACGAUAAUGACGGUACCUGAAGAAUAAGCCCCGGCAAACUUCGUG
rnacentral:rRNA from 1 species